rnacentral:lncRNA from 1 species
ACACAAAAAAUUUAUGUAUCCAAAAUAACCCUUCUCAAAAAAAUUAGAGCCGGGCUACUAUACUCUUAUGAAUACGAUCGCCCUCGUAUUUAUAAGUUAUUUUUAAUGAUGGAGCUUCAGAAUCGAUGAUCCACACCGUUAAAUAUUAUCUAGCGCAUUUAAAACUUCUAAAAAUCAAAUUUUAUAAUUUUUCGACAUCAUUUACCUUAUGAUCAAAAUGUCACAAAAUUAACAAUUUUUAACGACUGGUACAGAAUAUUUGCUAGUUUAACGAUACAAAAGAAUCAGGAUCGGUUGAAUUUUUUAUAAAAAAUUUUAUUCACUACAUAGAUAAAGAUCAAUAACUCCGAUCUGAAAUUGAAGCAUCCAAUCAUCUAUUUUUAAGACGUCGUCCGAUUUUGACCGUUCAUUUUAUACCCACUUGAUGAAUUUUAUUAUGAUUUCGAAAAAUUACGAAAUUUAUUUUCUAAAAGUUUCAAAUACUCGAUAUCAUAUUUAACGGAGUGGAUCGUCGAUUCGUAAGCUCCAUCAUUGAAAACAACUUAUGAGUACGAAUGACUCUAUACUCAUAAGAGUACAGUAGCCCUAGCCGGAAAAUUUAUAAAUUCUUAAUUUUUUUUUAUUAUUAGAU